AGAGGACAAAGAACUAAUGUCUGCAGGAAUAUUAAUAGGGACCCAAGUGGUGAGGCAGAUAGACACUAGGAGACCAGAGACUGGAGGUUGCUAAAAGCAGCUUCUGAGUUGGUUUCCUGUUCUUGGCAAACAAUUCCUCAAUUCCAGAGGGAAUCUUUAAUCAUGAAACUAAUUACUAUCCUGCUCCUCUGCUCCAGGCUCCUGCCAAGUUUAGCGCAGGAAGAAGGCGCCCAGGAAAUGGACUGCAAUGAUGAGACUGUAUUUCAGGCUGUGGAUAUUGCUCUCAAGAAGUGUAACGCUGGGUUACAAAGUGGCAGUUUGUGUUGUACUGAGUGACUGAGGGCACUAAGAAGGCCACUGGAGAAUGAACAGAAACUGUGGAGAAGAGUGGAAAUAAUAAAUUCUCUAUAGCCACAUAGACCUACAAUGGUUACUCUGGAUGGGUGAUACAUCUGGGGACCUGUCCUGUGGGUGACAGUGGGUAGGAGCCUGACAGGAGCCUAGCAUAACUGUCCUCUGAGGGGCUCCACCCAGUGGCGAAUGGAAAGAGACCCAGAGACCCACAGCCAAACAUUGGACGAAGCUCAGGGAGUCAUGUGGACGAGUUGGGGGAAGAAUUGAGGGAUCAGAAGACAAGGACUCCACAGAAAGACCUACAGAGUCAACUAACAUGAACCCUUGGAGGCUCCCAGAGACUGAACCACCAACCAGGAAGCAAGCAUGGGCUGGACCGAGGGCAGGGCUUAUAACAGAUUUAUAGCUUGGUCUUCAUGGCAGUAACCCAUCAACUGGAGGAUGGGCUUUCCCUGAAACCUGUUGUUUGGCUGUUGAUUCCAUCCCCCUAACUGGGCUGCCUUGUCUGGCCUCAUUGGGAGAGGAUGCCUAGUCCUGCAGUAACUUGAGUUUCAGGGGAGAGGGGGUGAUUUCAGGGGAUCCCCCUUGUCAGGGGAGAAGGGGAUGGGAGAGGGAAAUGGCGGGAAGGAUCUGUGUGAGGUGGUAUUGGAGGAGAGUGACAGUUGAUAUUGGGAUGUAAGGUGAAUAACGAAAUUAAUGAAAAAGAGACCUAAACAGACCUAAACAGAAGAAAAAAAACAAGUGAACAAGAAUAACUAUUCUAGAGAUUUAAAAAAAUUGUUUUAAAUUUAUAAUGAAGUUGUGGAGCUAAGUAAAAAAUGUUUAAGGAGGUACUAGUCUUAAUAGAAAGACAUGUAAACAAUUCUGCAGUAACUCCUUAAGCCACAAUGACAUAUGACAUGAUGACAUUGAACUUAUAGAAUGUAAAAGUGCUUAGAAAACCAUGUAAUCAAUUAUCCUGCUAUAAUGAGUCUACCUGAUAAUUAUAUGACUUAAAUUUUUUCUGAAAAAGUACAAAAAUUAAGAGCAAAAAUAAAGUGACAGUGUAGCAUUUUCUGGGUCAUCCAGUGUGCGUGUGUCUGUGUGUGUGCCUUUCUUUCCUCCUUUUUCCUUUUUCUUUGGUUCACCUGGCCUAACAAGCUCCUCUUGCUUGGCCAGCAAGAGGUUCCUGAGUCAAUAGUAAAGAGCCUAAGUAACUAAGUUCCUUUUCUUAAUCCCCAGCUGCUCUCUCAGGAGAUCAUUGCCAGAAGCCAUCAGCUUUUAGCCCCAGAACAGCAAAAGAGAGUUAAACAGUGAGAAGUCAUCCAUUCCCCCAUAAUCCCUGAGCUCUGUUGACUUUUUAUUAAGGGAUAUUGGCUUUUGCUCUGUGUUGGGUUAGGAUGAGAGAACCAGAGGGAGUUGGACUGAGGGCUCUAUCUAUGGAGGGAGCAGGUGUUAUAGGUGGGUCCCAGAAUGUGGGGUCUGAGUGCUCAAGGAAAGUGGGGGAUUUUUUUUGUAUGUGUGUGUGUGUGUGUGUGUGUGUGUGUGUAGAGAAUAGUUGCUUAACUUAGGUUCUCAGAAUGUACACAGGUGUGUGUGUGUGUGUGUGUGUUUUUGUGUGUAUGCAGGUGUGUGUUUACAGGUAUAUGUGUGUAUAUGUAUGUGUAUGCAGUUGCGUGUUUAGCAAGUGUGUGUGUGUGUAUAUGCAGGUGUGUGUGUGUGUGUUUACAGGUAUAUGUGUGUGUAUACAUGGGUGUGUAUACAGGUGUAUGUAUGCAGGUCUGUGUGUAUGUGUGUGUAGGCAGGUGUGUGUUUUUGGAGGUAUGUGUGUGUGUCUGUGUGUAUGCAGGUGUGUGUGUUUGCAGGUAUAUGUGUAUAUGUGUGUGUAUGCAAGUGUGUGUGUGUAUGCAAGUGUGUGUGUAUGCAGGUGUGUGUGUUUGCAGGUAUAUGUGUGUAUAUGUGUGUGUAUGCAGUGGUGUGUAUGUGUGUGUGUGUAUGCAGGUGUGUAUGUACACAGCUGUGUAUUACUGUGUAUGUACUUGUGUGUGUGUGUGUGUGUGUGUGUGUGAGCACACACACCAAUUUCAUAGACAGGUUUCUCUGUGUAGCCCCAACUGUACUAUACCUCGCCCUUUAGGCCAUGGUAGAUUUGAACUCAGAGAACUAACUCCCCCUAUCUCCCAAGAGCUGGGAUUGAGGGCCAGCACCAUCGUUCCUGGCUUUUUGUUUUAUUGACAGUCAUUCUUUAUAUAUCCCAAGCUGUGCUUGGACUCUUGAAUCCAUGAUACCACCCAGGCUAGCCUCAAACUCUCAGCAAUCCUCCGGUCUCAGUCUCCCCAGUACUGGGAUAACAAGUAUAUGCCACCCUGUUCACUGGGUGCUUUGUGAUAAUAAGAUGUUGGCAGACACCGUGUUGACAUAGAUUAUUUUCUAGUUGGGUAAUUACACAGAUUUAGGAACACUGAUAAGCAAGUCUAACUAUCCUCGCCUUGGCUCAGUGAACAUGAGAGGGGAACAGAGAGUGAGCUCUUAGAUCCUGCAGAAGUGAGAAUCUCCUGUGGCACCUGUGCGAUCUAUGAGGUAAGGACGU